CACGAGGCCAGGAGCAGCAGAGGUGCCGGACAGCACGAGGAGGUGGGAGAGGUGUGAGCAGCAGACAGAGGUGGAUGGAGUGCUGGAUGCCCGCUGCCCCCUGACAGCAGCUUUGGGGCUGGAGGAGAGCCCCGAGGGGAGCCAGAGCUGUCCUUGCCCAGGGAGCCUGGUCCUGGCAGCCAGUCCCACCGUGCCUGCUGUCACUGUCCUGUCCUGCCCCUGGUGCCACGAGUCCUGUCCUCAUCUCCUGCAGCUCUUGGUGCACACUGGAGAGCACCUGGGGCCAGCUGCAGUGAUGAUGUUCUGGGUACUGCAGGGCAGGUGAUGCCAGGAUUGUCCUACCAGAAAAUCAGAGACAAACAUCCAGGUGUUCCCUGUAAAACUGGAACUGUGUUCAGGCGUUCCUCCAAGAUCCAGCUGAGACAGAUGCUCUUCCCAGUGGGGCCAUUUGCACCUGCUUUGGCCUCUCCUGAGCAGGGCUGUGGUAGCUCCGUGCUUCAAGCCUUGAGGAAGCUCUCCCAUCUCAAGUUCCAGUGUUUACUCACUAAGCUGAAAGCCUGUCAGAGUCAUGCCUCCUGCUCCUGAUUUUCACUGGGGAAAGGCAGAGCUGCAGACCCAGAGGUGCUGCAGGGAUGGGCCAGCAAAGACAGUUUUUCUUUGAGUGCAGAAGGAAACACUGACUCAUGAUUUACAUGGGGAGGAUUUCUGGCCACCUGGUCCAUAUUAUAGCAUUGCAUGUGCUAUUUUUGCUCUUAUUUCAAUGUGUAUUUCCAAAGGAGGAUCAUGAAAGCUAAGAGAAGAAGAAGAAGACAUCAGGGCCGUGUUGUGACUGAGAUUUUACACACAUAAAAGCCCUUAAGCACUGCUGUGUAAAACCCAUUGGUUUCACUUCACAGGGGCUGUGACAAGAUUUGCUCUGGCUUUUGAUGCCCGUCAG
rnacentral:lncRNA from 1 species